rnacentral:rRNA from 1 species
UAGGGAAUCUUCCACAAUGGACGCAAGUCUGAUGGAGCAACGCCGCGUGAGUGAAGAAGGUUUUCGGACCGUAAAGCUCUGUUGUUGGUGAAGAAGGAUAGAGGUAGUAACUGGCCUUUAUUUGACGGUAAUCAACCAGAAAGUCACGGCUAACUACGUGCCAGCAGCCGCGGUAAUACGUAGGUGGCAAGCGUUGUCCGGAUUUAUUGGGCGUAAAGCGAGCGCAGGCGGAAGAAUAAGUCUGAUGUGAAAGCCCUCGGCUUAACCGAGGAAUUGCAUCGGAAACUGUUUUCUUGAGUGCAGAAGAGGAGAGUAGAACUCCAUGUGUAGCGGUGGAAUGCGUAGAUAUAUGGAAGAAUACCAGUGGCGAAGGCGGCUCUCUGGUCUGCAACUGACGCUGAGGCUCGAAAGCAUGGGUAGCGAACAGGAUUAGAUACCCUGGUAGUCCAUGCCGUAAACGAUGAGUGCUAAGUGUUGGGAGGCUUCCGCCUCUCAGUGCUGCAGCUAACGCAUUAAGCACUCCGCCUGGGGAGUACGACCG